UGCAGUCGAGCGGAUGAGGGAGCUUGCUCCUGGAUUCAGCGGCGGACGGGUGAGUAAUGCCUAGGAAUCUGCCUGGUAGUGGGGGAUAACGUCCGGAAACGGGCGCUAAUACCGCAUACGUCCUGAGGGAGAAAGUGGGGGAUCUUCGGACCUCACGCUAUCAGAUGAGCCUAGGUCGGAUUAGCUAGUUGGUGGGGUAAAGGCCUACCAAGGCGACGAUCCGUAACUGGUCUGAGAGGAUGAUCAGUCACACUGGAACUGAGACACGGUCCAGACUCCUACGGGAGGCAGCAGUGGGGAAUAUUGGACAAUGGGCGAAAGCCUGAUCCAGCCAUGCCGCGUGUGUGAAGAAGGUCUUCGGAUUGUAAAGCACUUUAAGUUGGGAGGAAGGGCAGUAAGUUAAUACCUUGCUGUUUUGACGUUACCAACAGAAUAAGCACCGGCUAACUUCGUGCCAGCAGCCGCGGUAAUACGAAGGGUGCAAGCGUUAAUCGGAAUUACUGGGCGUAAAGCGCGCGUAGGUGGUUCAGCAAGUUGGAUGUGAAAUCCCCGGGCUCAACCUGGGAACUGCAUCCAAACUACUGAGCUAGAGUACGGUAGAGGGUGGUGGAAUUUCGAAAGCGUGGGGAGCAAACAGGAUUAGAUACCCUGGUAGUCCACGCCGUAAACGAUGUCGACUAGCCGUUGGGAUCCUUGAGAUCUUAGUGGCGCAGCUAACGCGAUAAGUCGACCGCCUGGGGAGUACGGCCGCAAGGUUAAAACUCAAAUGAAUUGACGGGGGCCCGCACAAGCGGUGGAGCAUGUGGUUUAAUUCGAAGC
rnacentral:rRNA from 1 species